rnacentral:misc_RNA from 2 species
AAUUCUCAACUUCAAAAAAUCAUUGUAUUUAUUUGAAGCUUGGACUAUGGAGGCUUGCCGGCUGAAAAUAUGGUCAGCUCCUCUUAAAUGCAUUAGCAGAACCUUGUAAAAAAGGGACUGGCUCCAGUUUGAUAAUACUAUCUAUGCUGUUGCUUGAUUUGACCCUUGUGUGUUCAGCUUCUAAUGGUCUUUUUUAGACUGUCUCUAUUGAGGCAUACACUUUUAA